CUCAUUCACCCAUCAAGACAGCUUUGUGACAAAAGCACCAUGAGUCCCAGUCACAGAUGCCCAAGAUCAUGGUGACAGAGCCUGGGUCACCUCUGCAAAGUAAUAUAUGCAAUGUUAUCCAGAAAGAGGAGGUUUGCAAAGGAACACUGCAAUAGGAUACUGGCGCCAGGUACAUCAUCCACCUUUGGGAUGCCUGGUCUGCCUAUAUUUUUGCAAGACAAUAAACCUGAUUUGACCUCAAUUUCCUAUUCUGUAAAACCUGGGGAGUGUGAAAAGAACACAAGCAAAAUUUUGGAGUUGAUGGAUACAUCAGCUUUGGUUUGGUGAUUAUUAUGGGUUUAUGCAUAGGUCCAAAUUCAAGAAUAUGUAUAUGUUAAACAUGUGUAAUUUUUUUGCAUAUCAAUUAUACCUCGGUAAAGCUAAAGCAAAGAAUCAAGGGACUAUGUUUAAACUAUUAAAGGUACUUUUGAAAGCAGAGUCCCCAGACCACCUAUAUGUCAUAAGGAAUAUGCACCCUCUAAUAGAGGGACAGUUCUCCUGUUGAGGAUUAAUACUUGAAGGAGCAGUCCCUGAAUACAUACAGACAGGAAGUGCACAGACUCUUUAAUGGACACUGACAAAUCAACCUGGAAAGACAUACUGAUUGAGGGCCCUACCAGAAGUACCAGAACGUGUAGGCUUCCCCUCAUGCUCACCCACUGGAAAUACUCCAUAGUUUGUUGUUAUCCUUUUUGAUGUGAUGAAUGGAAAGUCUAUUUCAAUCAUUUUUAACUGCAUAUCAAGGUUAUUUAAAAUAAAAGCUUUCUUCCUAUACAAGACUCUAUCAGUCAUAACUGUCAUUUUUUUCACUGCAAAUGGGUCUAGUUACAUAGGAAGCCUAACAAUGAGUGACAGUCACAUAAACCUACAGUUUCUCCUAAUGCUACUGCCUGCUUGUAAG